UGUAAUUGUGUUUAUAUGUCUCCGUCUGUGUUUCCAGAAAAGCAUAACCUGGGGAUCUUUAAGUCGCGGGUGAAUAGGCUACUUCUAGCUAAGCGUGUUCCAUCUAAAACCGCAUUUUCACUUAUCAUCAGGUGAAAUAGUGGUCAAACGCAAGCCUAUCAU